rnacentral:rRNA from 1 species
CCUACGGGAGGCAGCAGUGGGGAAUCUUGCGCAAUGGGCGAAAGCCUGACGCAGCAACGCCGCGUGGGUGAUGAAGGUCUUCGGAUUGUAAAACCCUGUCGUUAGGGACGAAGACAUGAAUCCUAAUACGAUUCAUGUUUGACGGUACCUAGAAAGGAAGCCCCGGCUAACUCUGUGCCAGCAGCCGCGGUAAUACAGAGGGGGCAAGCGUUAUUCGGAAUUAUUGGGCGUAAAGGGUGCGUAGGCGGUUUUCUAAGUCAGAUGUGUAAUCCCCGAGCUCAACUUGGGAACUGCAUCUGAAACUGGGAGACUAGAGUACUGGAGAGGAUGGUGGAAUUCCGCGUGUAGCGGUAAAAUGCGUAGAGAUGUGGAGGAACACCAGUGGCGAAGGCGGCCAUCUGGACAGUAACUGACGCUGAAGCACGAAAGUGUGGGUAGCAAACAGGAUUAGAUACCCUGGUAGUCCACACCGUAAACGAUGAACACUUGGUGUAGUGGGAGUUGACCCCCACUGUGCCGUAGCUAACGCGAUAAGUGUUCCGCCUGGGGAGUCGGUGCAAGGCUGAAACUUNAAGGAUUGACGGNNGAGAGNGCGAGCGACGACGAGGGAGAGG